UACGAGAGGGGCAAGCGUUAUUCGGAAUUAUUGGGCGUAAAGGGCGCGUAGGCGGCUUGGCAAGUGGAUGGUGAAAUCCCUCGGCUUAACCGAGGAACUGCCGUCCAAACUGCUUCGCUUGAGACCGGGAGAGGUGAGUGGAAUUCCCAGUGUAGCGGUGAAAUGCGUAGAUAUUGGGAGGAACACCAGUGGCGAAGGCGGCUCACUGGACCGGUACUGACGCUGAUGCGCGAAAGCGUGGGGAGCAAACGGG
rnacentral:rRNA from 1 species